rnacentral:rRNA from 1 species
UACAGAGGUCCCAAGCGUUGUUCGGAUUCAUUGGGCGUAAAGGGUGCGUAGGCGGCGCGGUAAGUCGGGUGUGAAAUCUCGGAGCUUAACUCCGAAACUGCAUUCGAUACUGCCGUGCUUGAGGACUGGAGAGGAGACUGGAAUUUACGGUGUAGCGGUGAAAUGCGUAGAUAUCGUAAGGAACACCAGUGGCGAAGGCGGGUCUCUGGACAGUUCCUGACGCUGAGGCACGAAGGCCAGGGGAGCAAACGGG